CCUGCUCUUCCUACCAGACACAGGCACGGCACUCCGAGGGAUGUUGAGGCACUGAUCUAAUCCACUGUCUGACAGUCGGUUCAGACUUACAACAAUGCCAGUUCUUGCAUGGCUUCUGACUCAUCAAAGGCCAGAAGAGAAGACAAAGCAAUUGAAUUAGAAAGCAAACAUCACAAUAGUGCCUGUGAAAACCAGCAUGGAUUUACAAGACAAGUAAAUUUUUUUCUUAAAAUGGCACUUCACUAACAAUCAUUUAAUAGAUUUUUUUUUUUUUAAAAUCAUGGUGAGAGUUAUUACCACUGUUACCAAAAUGCUGGAAAUAGCAUUUCAGAUUCUGAGCUCCUCCUGUGCAUUACAUGUGCUACAAGUAGUUCUUGUAGGCUGGGAGGGCAAUUGUUGCAGAAACUGUAGCCACAGUAACAUCUUUCUCUAGCAUCUUCACAUCAGUAAUGAAGAGCAAAUCAGGCUCCAGUUAUUCACAAAUUGCUCAAAACAUUGGCACUUACAAAUGUCACAGCCAUCUCUGCCUGCAGAAAGACUAUGAAAGGAAUGCUCCAUCAUGCUGUGGCACAAGGGAAGUGCACGCCUGAAUUGGAAAUGUGAUCUUUCACUGUCUGGGUAUUACACAGGUUGCAUUACCCAGUGAGAGAAGGGAUUCGCCCUAUCAACCACAUGCAGAUCAGCGCUAUGACUCCAUCAAUUUUGUCCCCAUUUGGAAAAAAAAAAAAUAAAAUACUGCUGUAUUUUUCAGAUCUAGACCAUAGGGAAGACUACAGACACUGAUUUUUUUUCAAACAGGCAUGGUCCGGCAUGUAAUGACAACAUAUAUACCCUCUCUGUCUUCUACAUUUUUUGAAGAAAGUGGCUAGAGGUGUCAUGAUGCUUGUACUGAGUUUAUGUGGCAAGGUGCUGGAGAUGGAGUGGGGGAUGCAGAAGAAUCACUGUGAGCAGAGGACAGGGCUAUCCUGUGUGGGACACAUCAAGUUCCAGAUGGCUCCAACCAGUCCACUGUAGGGUACAGCUGAGCCUCACAGCCACAAAGGCAGCACAUCUGGAAGAAUAAAUUUAAGGAAGGGCAAAAACCACUGUGCAGUAGAAUGGUAGGGAAAACGUCUGAGAAACAGUCCUGCAGACACCAAGGUGAGAGAAGAAGCAGGAAGGAAUGAUGGUCUGUGUACUGGAGCAGAGAUUCCUCUGCAGUCCAUGGAGAAGACCACAGGGAAGCAGGUUGCCUCCCUGCAGCAUACAGAUGAUCACGUCAGAGCAGAUAUCCACACUGCAGCCAUGGCAGACACCGUGCCAGAGCAGAUGGAUGGGCUCUGAAUGAACUGCAGACUGUAGAGGCCAUGCAGGAGUGGGUUUAUCCCAAAGGACUACAGCCCAUGAAAAAAAUCCGUGCUGAAGCAAGGGAGACAUGGAGGAACAGGGUGCAGAGAUGAAGUGCUGUUAACUGACUAAAGUCCUUAUUCCCCACCCUUCUGUACUGUUCAGUGUGUGAAAAGAAGAACAUAGAGAAGCCAGGAAAGAAGGAGUGCAAUUGAGCCUGGGAAGAAAGAGGAAACUGGAGAAUUUUUUCUGGGAGAAGAAAAACAAACUACUCAACACGAAGUCUCUGAAGCCUGGAAGAGACCAGAGGACUCUUCCAAGAUAUUCAAAGGUGUUGGAAAAGGGAGAUUAACCACUCUCCGCAGUGAGAACAUUCCAAUGCCCUGAAGUCUCCACAUGGCAUUUUUGAAAUUGAAGAGAUUUGAUAAUGCUAGAACCCUGACUUUGACUCAAUAUUGUACUGGUGAGAGAUAGUUAAAUCCUGUGGUUCAUGACAUCUGAAAGAUUGCCUGUCUACUGCUAGUGGUGAAAGCCUAAACUUAAUCUUCAAGGAAAGGAUCUCUGCCUGCAUCUUUCUCCUAGCAACAGCUAAUGACACAGUGAAACCAUGCACCAUUUCCACACUGUUGGGGAUAAGGGAUAAAGAGCAAGGAAGGCAGAGCAGCUACUUCCAUAUGAUUAUUCAUUUAUUUACUUUCAUUUGGACAACAGAGAAACAGUUUCUCUCCCUGUUCCUCUGUAAAUACAUCUUACCUAUACUCAUGUAAAUGCUUCAUCUGACAACAUAUUAGGAGAGCCUGUUUUGAAACCAUAGACAGUGCUGUUAAGGAAGGUAAUUUAAUUGCAUUCAGAGAAAACAGCAGUAACAGGGAAAGGAUGCUACAAUGUACACUGCAAAAGGGUGAAUGUUGCCAGUCUUCAUAUUGCUCUGUGUGGGGUCAAGCACACAGAGAAGCAAGGUCCUUUAAUUGAACAUGCAGGCUCUAGAAUAGAUUUUUUGUGGUGCCCUGGGUGUUAGCACAUUUUGUCAUUCUCUUUGCUGUGUUUUUUCUUUCUCCUUUUGUAUUUUCCAGUAUGCCACCAAAAGGCACUGCAGAGGAUAAUUUUUUUAUUUUUUUAUUUAUUUUUUUUAACAAGUGGCUACUACCUUUCUGGCAGUACUGCUUAAGGUACAAGCAGGGCAUGGAAAGACUGGGCACAGAACAUAAAAAUGGGAGGAGGGGACUGCCAGUUGUAGUUCCUUCCUUUUCCAGGAAGGAAAUACAGGAUAUAGUUACUGGACGGAUACAUAUUUCUUGCUGAAUUCCAUUACUUCAACAGAAUAUGGGCUUUUCUGCUAUAAAUCCCACAACUCUCAAUUUGAAUCUGGUUACCUUUUGCAGUGUACAGGUCCUCAACAUGCCCUAUGUAUAACCACUCCCAUGACAGAGCUUCUCAGCCAAUGGCAAUUUUAAAAACAGGUACAGUUUUUUAUGUGUUUCACUGUCCAGAUAAUACACAAUCCUCAAACUACAAACAUUAGGCCUGCAACUAAAAAAUCAGGAGUUAGGUUUGUAAUUCUUCUGUCUGUGUCUCUAAAAAUUAGUCUUUGCCCAAAAUAUUCUA